rnacentral:rRNA from 1 species
GAUGAACGCUAGCGGCAGGCUUAACACAUGCAAGUCGAGGGGCAGCAUGACACGGAGAUUCGUCGAAGUGUUGAUGGCGACCGGCGCAAGGGUGCGUAACGCGUGAGCAACUUGCCCGUUUCUGGGGAAUAACCGGUGGAAACGCCGACUAAUACCCCAUGGCAUUGAUUGGAGGCAUCUCUGAUCAAUUAAAGAAUUUCGGAAACGGAUAGGCUCGCGUGACAUUAGCUAGAUGGCGGGGUAACGGCCCACCAUGGCGACGAUGUCUAGGGGUUCUGAGAGGAAGGUCCCCCCACACUGGAACUGAGACACGGUCCAGACUCCUACGGGAGGCAGCAGUGAGGAAUAUUGGUCAAUGGGCGCGAGCCUGAACCAGCCAAGUAGCGUGAAGGAUGACUGCCCUACGGGUUGUAAACUUCUUUUGUUGGGAAUAAAUGAUACUACGUGUAGUAUUUUGCAUGUACCUUACGAAUAAGCAUCGGCUAAUUCCGUG